CGAACGCGAAAGGUUCCUUCGGGAACCGAGUAGAGUGGCGUCCGGGUGAGUAACACGUAGGUAAUCUACCUCUGGGUGGGGAAUAACGACCGGAAACGGUCGCUAAUACCGCAUAACGCAGCGGCACCACAUGGUGACAGUUGUUAAAGCGGGGGAUCGUAAGACCUCGCGCCUAGAGAGGAGCCUGCGGCGGAUUAGCUAGUUGGUAGGGUAACGGCCUACCAAGGCAACGAUCCGUAGCCGGCCUGAGAGGGCGGUCGGCCACACUGGCACUGACAUACGGGCCAGACUCCUACGGGAGGCAGCAGUCGGGAAUUUUGGGCAAUGGGCGAAAGCCUGACCCAGCAACGCCGCGUGAAGGAUGAAGCUUUUCGGAGUGUAAACUUCAUAAGAAUGGGACGAAUAAGGAGGGGUUAACACCCCCUUUGAUGACGGUACCAUUUGUAAGCUCCGGCUAACUCCGUGCCAGCAGCCGCGGUAAUACGGGGGGAGCAAGCGUUGUUCGGAUUUACUGGGCGUAAAGGGCGCGUAGGCGGCGUGACAAGUCACUUGUGAAAUCUCCGGGCUUAACCCGGAGCGGCCAAGUGAUACUGUCGUGCUAGAGUGCGGAAGGGGCUACUGGAAUUCUCGGUGUAGCGGUGAAAUGCGUAGAUGUCGAGAGGAACACCUGCGGCGAAGGCGGGUAGCUGGGCCGACACUGACGCUGAGGCGCGAAAGCCAGGGGAGCGAACGGGAUUAGAUACCCCGGUAGUCCUGGCCUUAAACGAUGGAUACUUGGUGUCCGGGGUUACAUAGUCCCCGGGUGCCGGCGCUUACGCAUUAAGUAU
rnacentral:rRNA from 1 species